GACGAACGCUGGCGGCGUGCUUAACACAUGCAAGUCGAGCGGUAAGGCCUUUUCGGGGGUACACGAGCGGCGAACGGGUGAGUAACACGUGGGUGACCUGCCCUCAGCUCUGGGAUAAGCCUGGGAAACUGGGUCUAAUACUGGAUAUGACUCCACGGUGCAUGUCGUGGGGUGGAAAGCCUUGUGCGGCUGAGGAUGGGCCCGCGGCCUAUCAGCUUGUUGGUGGGGNGAUGGCCUACCAAGGCGACGACGGGUAGCCGGCCUGAGAGGGCGACCGGCCACACUGGGACCGAGACACGGCCCAGACUCCUACGGGAGGCAGCAGUGGGGAAUCUUGCGCAAUGGGCGAAAGCCUGACGCAGCGACGCCGCGUGAGGGAUGACGGCCU
rnacentral:rRNA from 1 species